rnacentral:rRNA from 1 species
CACGUAGGCGGUGAAUUAAAGUUGAAAAGUGAAAAUCCCCAAAGCUUAAACUUUUGGAACUAUUUUCAAAACUGGUUUACUGGAGGUCGAUAGGGGAUAGUGGAAUUUCUAGUGUAGAAAUAGAAUUCAUAAAUAUUAGAAGGAACACCAGUGGCGAAGGCGACUAUCUGGAUCGAUACUGACGCUGAGGUGCGAAAGCAUGGGGAGCAAACA